rnacentral:lncRNA from 1 species
AAGAAUCUUUAACAAUUGAAGCUCAAGAAGAGUAAGAUAUAGAGAAGAAAAUUUACCUAAUUGAGCAAAGAUUUUCAGCAAAUUUAAACCCAGAAGAUGAAAAACCAAGGGCGUAGCUCAAUUGAUUGAGAUCUGGAAAAUAGAUCAACAGUAGCAAGAGCCAAGAAUAAUAGUUUUAUGUUGAAAAUGCCAAAUUAGAGUAGCUAAGUGGAAGUACAAAAAGUUACCGAGACUUAAGCUUAAAUAUUUUUGAAACCCAACAAAGUAUACUUUGUUAUACUUGCUCCGGCAUAGUCCGACAAUGUCUUAGAAACACCGACGGUUAUCGGAGUUGGAGUCCGGCGCCAAUCAAUUGUAGUCCUUCAAAGGGCGGGAUA